AUAACGACUCUCGGCAACGGAUAUCUUGGCUCUCGCAUCGAUGAAGAACGUAGCGAAAUGCGAUACUUGGUGUGAAUUGCAGAAUCCCGUGAACCAUCGAGUCUUUGAACGCAAGUUGCGCCCCAAGCCUUCUGGCCGAGGGCACGUCUGCCUGGGUGUCACAA
rnacentral:rRNA from 1 species